AUUGAACGCUGGCGGCAGGCCUAACACAUGCAAGUCGGACGGUAGCACAGAGGAGCUUGCUCCUCGGGUGACGAGUGGCGGACGGGUGAGUAAUGUCUGGGGAUCUGCCCGAUAGAGGGGGAUAACCACUGGAAACGGUGGCUAAUACCGCAUAACGUCGCAAGACCAAAGAGGGGGACCUUCGGGCCUCUCACUAUCGGAUGAACCCAGAUGGGAUUAGCUAGUAGGCGGGGUAACGGCCCACCUAGGCGACGAUCCCUAGCUGGUCUGGGAGGAUGACCAGCCACACUGGAACUGAGACACGGUCCAGACUCCUACGGGAGGCAGCAGUGGGGAAUAUUGCACAAUGGGCGCAAGCCGGAUGCAGCCAUGCCGCGUGUAUGAAGAAGGCCUUCGGGUUGUAAAGUACUUUCAGUGGGGAGGAAGGCGAUGUGGUUAAUAACCGCGUCGAUUGACGUUACCCGCAGAAGAAGCACCGGCUACUCUGUGCCAGCCGCCGCGGUAA
rnacentral:rRNA from 1 species